CUGCUCCCUAGAGUUCCCUUCGAGCACUUCACUGGGGCUAUGUGUUCAAUUUCCCUUCCCUUACCGAUCAGUAGUUCAUGGCCCUACUGAAGUGUUUGGGGGAACUCUGGGUGGCAU
rfam:Punica granatum cultivar Dabenzi scaffold665, whole genome shotgun sequence.